AAUUAAUACAUACACUGUUAACGAUUUCUGUAAAUUACACUGUAUUUUACUGUAAUAUGAACUGUAUUUUACCGUAGGGCAUGUUAUACAGUAUGUUGCUGUAUUUUGAUGUUGCAUUGUGGGAAAUGUAAUCUUUGUGCCAGUAAAAUACUGUAUUUUCUGUUUACUGUAAAAUUUACAGUUAAUUAAAAAUACUGUAUUUUAAUGGCAGGUGGUGCUAAUUUGUUUUUUGGGGGAUUAACUCUCUGAUUAAGGUUUGGUGUCGUUGCAUAGUUAAGCCUAAAGGGGACUUUGAGUUAAUGUUGAGUGUCAAGCCUUACAAUCCAAUAUAGAAAGCUAUCUUAUACAAAUAAUGUAAUAUUAUUGUAUUUAAAUAUUGAUUUAAAAUGUAAAGUAAAAUUCAGAAGACUUAAACAAAGUCCUAAAAACAAUCAAACAACUAAAUUAGUGCAAGUAGAGCUGAUUUAUUUACCAAAACACAAUAUAAUCAUCUUCAUUAAAGCUUUGUAUAUUCCAAUUAAUUUACAAAUGUAAGUGUUUAAAAAUUAGAGAUAGGUUUUGCCGGUUGUUGAUGAGUGAUGAAUACCAGCUGUGAAUUUUCUCAACGCGUGUAAGCAGCCACGUCACAGGAAACCGAAACAGUGUUCCAAUAUAAAGUGAGGGUCCUUGACAGUGGCCGCACCCGCAUACUACACGAUAUAAUGAUUCCCCACCUCGGGAGCUAUAGGGAACGAAUUGAGACACAGCCCUGGAUGUAAUCACGUCUGUGCUGAUCACGUGCCUGUACACAAACCCGCAGCUCACUUGUAAAAGAUUAUCCGGUUAUUUAUUACACGUAAAGUAAACGUUUUUAAUGUUAUCAUGAAUCAAUGUUAUAGUUUUGUAUGUCACAUUAUUUUUUGAGAAGAGUCAUGACUGAACGCGGACCUUACACGCUGUUAUUUUUUUGUGUGCGUAUGGCCAAGGUACAGUGCGCUCUUUUGCACUAUGACCAGCCAUCAGUAAAUCGAAAUACAGUAAAAAAAAAAUGAGCGCGAAACCCUGACACUUUACAGAAAGGCACGGAUAUCCCCGCCCGAAGAAAAAAAGAACACAGGACAAUGGUUGCAAGUUAAACAGCUGGUAAGUAAAAUGAGUAAUCCUGUGAUUUCUUAACAUAUUUAAUUUUUUAUUUGGUUAAUUAAUUUGAAACACUUAACAACACGCAGUUAACGGUAAUUUACCUCACACGUUAGGACUGUUGUGACUAAACAGAUAGGGAGAGAGCUUUGUGGUGAAAACUCUUUUUAAGACUCAACAAAACUUUCGGUGCAAGUUAUCAUAUUUAUUUCUUUUCCUUUUUAGAACAUUUCACCAUCUGCAAAGAACAUUUCACCAUCAACAUAUUAACAUAAACGGUUCUCUUUUUCUUGUUUGACUGCGUUUGGUACAGGUGAGUGUUCAUCUGAAAUGCUAGGCGACAAACUGAGCUUUUGUGUUUAACGCUAUUUUGAAGUCAGUCUCUCAGUUUCUCUCUAACAUGCACAUCUAACAAGGAAUAAUUGACGAUGGGUCGUUGAAUUAAAUUGAUAUAACUGCCAGUAACAAAAAGUGUGUGUGUGUGCGUGCGUGUGUGUGCGUGUGCAGGUCACAACAACGACGGCAGAUGUAGAGACCACGCUUUUCCUUGCUUCCACUCCACGGCUGAUCAUGCUUGAGGAUCCAGAUCUACAAAACAAAAAAUGGAUGCUGCCGAUUGAAGGCUAAGUCCGAUUUCCUGCGAUUGACCUACCAUUUCUUCAGCAUUUGCUGUUCACUUUGGUUGCUACUACGUGCUCAACAUCGAGUACCAUGUGCAAGCAGCCACUACUUUGGAGUUUAUUCAGAGAUUUAUUGUGAGGAUCAGCCCCGACAACAGCAAGUGCUCCUCUAACUUCCAGGUGAGCAAAAGAAGUGGGAAGAUGGUGCAAAGGAAGAACUCUGGCCUGAACCACCUUUAUUAAGGACUUUAUGAAUUAAGCAAAACUAUUAAGCAACUAAAGCAAAUACAUUCUACUCAACUCACCAGAGGUUUGUGAAGUUCUUUUUUUUCUUAAAGGUUUCUUUUAGUUAAUUUGUCCAUGCACUGAUUUAUAAUAUUGUAAUAUGAAACUCCAGUGUAUACAUGUUACUACUGUUGCUUCUAAAAGCAAAAUAAGUCUAUGCAGGAGAGGUUUUGUUACGUUUUUUUUUUUUAAUUAUUCUUAUAGACGGUUUCAUCGGACGCACAUGACACACGUCUGGAUCCGAUCCUUACUUCCGGUUUCGCUUUUUUAAUGGUCUGACUAGUUGCUAAACUGAUCUCUUGAACAAAAGCCUCGUUGAAAAUAACAAAUGUUUUGGUUUCCGAGCUAAUCUAUGUGUUGUUUUUUUGCUUGUUAUAUAAAUAAAAUGCGUUUAAAGAACUUUGUUGUUUUUUAUUCUUAGCGGAGUUUAUCGGAAAUUCAUGCGGACCGCGACAGCCGCUUGUUUAUGAUGUUACUGCUGAAACCGUCUAUAGUUAUAACUGAAUUUGUACUAGUAUUAUUUGAUAAUACUGUGAAAUGAAACAGUGAGUAAAUGUUACAUUGGCUUUGAAAAAGCUGUUGCUGCAAGAAAUUACAAUUUACUCAGAAUAAUAUUUUGAAUGUAUAAGUUUUUGACAUUGCUUAUGACUGCAUUUGAAUGUAUUGUUCAUGAAUUGAUGCUGUGAUAUGUGUGUGUAAAUGUUUUGUAUUUUACUCAGGAAAGUAUUUUGUAUUUGAACAUUGUUAUUAUGACUGAGUUAGUUCAUGACUUGAUUUAAAAUUCUGUAAUAUGAUAUCUAUGAGUAAAUGUUAUUGCAGGUUUAAGAAAAACAGUUUGUGAUGCAAGCUGAAAGUUCAGUGUGCAAAAAAUAUGAAAAUCUGAUUUCAUGUAUUUGAAAAACUAAAAGAAAUUUUAAAAA